GAUGAACGCUGGCGGCGUGCCUAAUACAUGCAAGUCGAGCGAAGCGGGGACGGGUGAGUAACACGUGGAUAACCUCCUAUAAGCCUGGGAUAACUUCGGGAAACCGGAGCUAAACCGGAUGCUUACAGAUGGAUCCGCGCUGCAUUAGCGAGUUGGUAAGGUAACGGCUUACCAAGGCAACGAUGCAUAGCCGACCUGAGAGGGGGAUCAGCCACACUGGAACUGAGAAACGGUCCAGACUCCUACGGGAGGCAGCAGUAGGGAAUCUUCCACAAGGGGGGAAAGCCUGACGGAGCAACGCCGCGUGGGUGAGGAAGGUCUUCGGAUCGUAAACCUCUUUUAUUAGGGAAGCGGUACCUAAUCAGAAAGUCACGGCUAACUACGUGCCAGCAGCCGCGGUAAUUC
rnacentral:rRNA from 1 species